rnacentral:RNase_P_RNA from 1 species
GGAGUUGGCGAGGUGGUUGCGGGCUGGCCUUGGCUGGCCUGAGGAAAGUCCGGGCUCCCGAAAGACCAGACUUGCUGGGUAACGCCCAGUGCGGGUGACCGUGAGGAGAGUGCCACAGAAACAUACCGCCGAUGGCCUUGGGGUGUCUCCAGGCACAGGUAAGGGUGCAAGGGUGCGGUAAGAGCGCACCAGCAGCAUCGAGAGGUGCUGGCUCGGUAAACCCCGGUUGGGAGCAAGGUCGAAGGGGCAAGGGUUGGUCUUUUUCCUGUCCCGUCUUUGCGUACCGCAGGAGGCGGCUGGUAACAGUCGUCCCAGAUAGAUAACCGCCCCCCGGCAACGGGGAACAGAACCCGGCUUAUGUCCGACUCCUUCC